UACGGAGGGUGCGAGCGUUAAUCGGAUUUACUGGGCGUAAAGCGUGCGUAGGCGGCUUUUUAAGUCGGAUGUGAAAUCCGUGAGCUUAACUUAGGAAUUGCAUUCGAUACUGGGAAGCUAGAGUAUGGGAGAGGAUGGUAGAAUUCCAGGUGUAGCGGUGAAAUGCGUAGAGAUCUGGAGGAAUACCGAUGGCGAAGGCAGCCAUCUGGCCUAAUACUGACGCUGAGGUACGAAAGCAUGGGGAGCAAACAGGAUUAGAUAC
rnacentral:rRNA from 1 species